rnacentral:rRNA from 1 species
AGUGAACGCUGGCGAUAGGCCUAACACAUGCGAGUCGAACGGCAGCACAGUAAGAGCUUGCUCUUACGGGUGGCGAGUGGCGGACGGGUGAGGAAUACAUCGGAAUCUACUUUUUCGUGGGGGAUAACGUAGGGAAACUUACGCUAAUACCGCAUACGACCUACGGGUGAAAGCAGGGGAUCUUCGGACCUUGCGCGAUUGGAUGAGCCGAUGUCGGAUUAGCUAGUUGGCGGGGUAAAGGCCCACCAAGGCGACGAUCCGUAGCUGGUCUGAGAGGAUGAUCAGCCACACUGGAACUGAGACACGGUCCAGACUCCUACGGGAGGCAGCAGUGGGGAAUAUUGGACAAUGGGCGCAAGCCUGAUCCAGCCAUACCGCGUGGGUGAAGAAGGCCUUCGGGUUGUAAAGCCCUUUUGUUGGGAAAGAAAAGCAGCAGGUUAAUACCCCGCUGUUCUGACGGUACCCAAAGAAUAAGCACCGGCUAACUUCGUG